GCCAGUGUGGUGUAGUGGUUUGAUUGUUUGACUAUGACUUUGGAGACCAGGGUUUCAUUCCCUGCUCAGCCA